AAGCAACGUUCCUCACUACAAUUCCUUCUCAUCACGUGUGUGUGUGUUUACAAUGACAUACGGUGUGUAGCAGCACGGGCAUAGCAGUUGUCAUCACACUGCAUCAGCCAGCCAGGAAUGUCUGAAGAGAAGCAGGAGGCGUGGGAGCACAUCAGAAGGCCUGGGUCAGGAGCAGCAGGUUUCCAAACAUCAAGCUCCGGAUUUACAAGUGAAAAAAGAAUUGGGAGGUCGACUGACUGUUCAUUUUACCCCCAACCUUGCUAUCAUAUUUUCUCUCAGGAUUCCUUGUAAUGUGUCAAUUUAUUUUCUUCAACUCAGAAGAAUGUUGAAAAGUCACUUUAAAGGGACUUUCAGUUGUACAUUUAAAAAAUAUGUUUCCAGUUAAAUAUAAGGCACACUUUUUAGCCCUUUAUAAGCAAUUAAAUAACGAAUGUAUUUUGGUCUUGAAA